rnacentral:lncRNA from 1 species
CAUAACUGGCUCCCACUCCCACUGCUGCCAUGACCUCAUCUACGACUCCACUCACAUUCCCUUUGUUCAAGUCACAGUGGUCUCCCAGCAGGUCCUGACACAUGCCUAGCUUGUUCCUGCCACAGGGACUUUGCACUUACUCUUCCUGCCGCCUAAAACCUUCUUACCCCAGGUAUCUGCAUGGCUCAUUCUCACCUUCCUUGGACUCUGCUCAAAUGUCAUCAGAGAAGCCCUCAUAGAUAACACUAAAUGAACCAGAGGUGCUUCAUCCAUCACUUUCUCUCCCCUGACCCAAGGACCAGCUACAUGCUUUGAGGGGCCCAGUGCAAAAUGGAAAUGUGAGAUCCUUGGUUCAAAAAGCAAGGGAAAAAAUACGUGAUGUUAAAGAUCCUGUACUCCUGAACGUCUUCCCUGGAAAACUUCUUCCUGGGAUGUGGGCCCCCAGGCAACACCAUCGAGUUGAAGGGUUCUAUAACCGAAGGGACUUCUGGACCAGUGAGCUCAGCUCUUUGCCUAAGAGGGAGAAAAGGGAGCUCCACAGUCAUAGCUGGUCCACCAUGGUGCUGGUGCGCUGUCUUGGCCUCCUUCUCACAUGCCAGUGCUCUUCCUAUCCUGAAUACUAAAUAAGGCCGCAAAGAUGAGGAUGAAAGCCUGCAGGUUCAGGAUGGUGGGAAAGAUGGCAUUGGAACAAACGGUAACAUCUAGCAAGCAGUUUGCAUCGACUCUGCACGACAACCAAAAUAUGCUGUGUUGUCCAAAUGAAAAUUCUCCAAAAUAAUGACAUCAAGAUCAAACCAAGAUAAAGAGCUGGCAUCAUUAUACUUGACAGGCAUAUACAGUACUUAUGCUGAAAUUGAAAUGAUCAAAACUAACCUCAUGGAAAAAUGUAAGCACCCAAAGGUUGUAAGAAAAGUCAUACAAAUCAAAUUUAUAAAGCAAAUAAAUCAAAUUUAUAAAGCAAUUCUAAUGCCACUUUUGAAAAAAGUAAAUUCCCUCUUAGAGGACUCAUCGACUUCAUCCUAGUCCAAAAGCUUGUUGGGUGGCAGAAAUGAUGAUGAUUAUAGCCUGAGACAUC